UGGGGAAUUUUGGACAAUGGGCGCAAGCCUGAUCCAGCAAUGCCGCGUGCAGGAUGAAGGCCUUCGGGUUGUAAACUGCUUUUGUACGGAACGAAAAGCCUCUCUCUAAUACAGGGGGGUGAUGACGGUACCGUAAGAAUAAGCACCGGCUAACUACGUGCCAGCAGCCGCGGUAAUACGUAGGGUGCAAGCGUUAAUCGGAAUUACUGGGCGUAAAGCGUGCGCAGGCGGUUUUGUAAGACAGUGGUGAAAUCCCCGGGCUCAACCUGGGAACUGCCAUUGUGACUGCAAGGCUGGAGUGCGGCAGAGGGGGAUGGAAUUCCGCGUGUAGCAGUGAAAUGCGUAGAUAUGCGGAGGAACACCGAUGGCGAAGGCAAUCCCCUGGGCCUGCACUGACGCUCAUGCACGAAAGCGUGGGGAGCAAACAGGAUUAGAUACCCUGGUAGUCCACGCCCUAAACGAUGUCAACUGGUUGUUGGGGAUUUAUUUCUUCAGUAACGAAGCUAACGCGU
rnacentral:rRNA from 1 species